AGAAUCAACGCUGGCGGCGUGCCUAACACAUGCAAGUCGAACGAGAAAGUGGAGCAAUCCAUGAGUAAAGUGGCGCACGGGUGAGUAACACGUGACUAACCUACCCUCGAGUGGGGAAUAACUUCGGGAAACCGAGGCUAAUACCGCAUAAAACCUAAGGGUCAAAGGAGCAAUCCGUUUGAGGAGGGGGUCGCGGCAGAUUAGUUAGUUGGCGGGGUAAUGGCCCACCAAGACGAUGAUCUGUAUCCGGCCUGAGAGGGCGCACGGACACACUGGAACUGAAACACGGUCCAGACUCCUACGGGAGGCAGCAGUGGGGAAUUUGCGCAAUGGGGGAAACCCUGACGCAGCAACGCCGCGUGGAGGAUGAAAUCCCUUGGGAUGUAAACUCCUUUCGAUCGGGAAGAUAAUGACGGUACCGGAAGAACGAAGCCCCGGCUAACUUCGUGCCAGCAGCCGC
rnacentral:rRNA from 1 species